GAUGAAGAACGUAGCGAAAUGCGAUAAGUAAUGUGAAUUGCAGAAUUCAGUGAAUCAUCGAAUCUUUGAACGCACAUUGCGCCCGCUAGUAUUCUGGCGGGCAUGCCUGUUCGAGCGUCAUUUCAACCAUCAAGCUCCUUAGCUUGUGUUGGGGACCUGCGGCUGCCGCAGGCUCCGAAAUGCAGUGGCGGGCUCGUUGUCACACCGAGUGCAGUAAUUGUUCUUCUCUGGGCGUGGCGGCGGGUUCCGGCCGUUAAACCACCUUCAUAACCCAAGGUUGACCUCGGAUCAGGUAGGAAGACCCGCUGAACUUAAGCAUAUCAAUAAGCGGAGGA
rnacentral:misc_RNA from 1 species